ACAGUUUGCUGUUCGUUUUUAAACACAAACAGAUAUAAAGUAUUUGCGUUUCGAGAAGUUUGUUGCCUAUUUAACCAUUUAUUUCUCUAUUUAGUUUUUUAUAGUUGGCAAGUAACGUCAAAUUUGUUUAAAAUUAUCAUGGUUGUUCCUUGGCGUCAAGCUGGUCUCACAUACAUCCGAUAUUCACGAAUCUGCGCGCAAGCUGUCAGGCAAGCACUAAAGCCUGAAUUCCAAGAUGCAGCCAAAAUGAGGGACCAGAGAUCCGUGCUAACUCGGAAAUGGGAAAACGGAAAACCAAUUGGAACCUUCCCAAAAACAGCCUAAUGAAUUCAGAUAGCUGCUUUCCUCAUUUUCUAUUCAAACUGUUCCUUUGCUUUGAAACAAAUUAAAUAAAAGUGGCCAUUUAACAUG